ACGACCUUACUUGACCAGGAUCUGCUCUAUAGGCUCGUACCGCUGCAUCCUUAACUAAUAAGGAGGCAAGCACUGAAGCCUGAUUGAUGAAGUUUGCCCUGUGGGCCAGAGCGUGAUUGACGGCUCAGAUCAUGCUUGCGAUAAAAUGCUGUAGAGGAUCGUUCCUGGUAGCUUCUGGCUUACCAGGGUGGCACACAGGCAGCUA
rnacentral:snoRNA from 2 species